CUGAUGCUUUCCAUCCAUCUGAACCUGCAACCUGAAACCUUUACCCUGAAAUCUGGAACCCAUACCUGCCUGUCAUGCUGGGAGCAGGCUCAGCAAAGGAAACUUCUUCCAGGGGACUUUUUGGCGUUCCCAGGCAAGAUCGCAUUAUGAUAGUGAACACAGUGAGAAGGUCAGCGAGUUUCUUCUCUGUAUCAAGGAGGGGGAUCGCACAAUGUGAGCUGCUCCGAUCCCGGUAUUACAGCACGGACCGAGGAACAGGCUGAUGAGGAAAGGCACGUGAACAAAGAACAUACCGCUGCCACUCUACAGAAGCGUAACUUAUCUGAGACUGCACUUUUGAAUUAUUACAUGCCAGUUAAAGUCAUACGGCUACAAAGGGGCAUGAAUUAUAAAUGUCAAAGCAGGAUUUACCUUGUACUGUUUUGUUUGAUCUCCUGACAGAAUGCAUGAAACAAUCAUCUAAAGUCAUUAGUUUUAUUUGUAGUCUUCAUGACUUAUUUAUAUGACUAUAUUGAUGUUUUUGUGGGAACAGCUCGUACAUCCAAAAAAAUUCUACUGUGCAGGUGCGUGGGACGAUAACAUCAACUACGAAACAAAAGGAAAAA